GAUGAAGAACGUAGCGAAAUGCGAUACUUGGUGUGAAUUGCAGAAUCCCGUGAACCAUCGAGUCUUUGAACGCAAGUUGCGCCUCAAGCCAUUAGGUUGAGGGCACGUCUGCCUGGGCGUCACAUAUCGUUGCCUGAUGCCAGUUUCCUCGUGAUGGGUGACUGUGCAGGGCGAAUGAUGGCUUCCCGUGAGCAUUGUUGCCUCAUGGUUGGUUGAAAAUUGAGUCCUUGGUAGGGAGCGCCGUGAUAGAUGGUGGUUGAGUGACGAACGAGUCCCAAUCAUGUGAGACCCCUACCGAAUUUGGCCUUCAUGACCCACAUGCGUCUUUGGAACGCUCAUGACGAGACCUCAGGUCAGGCGGGGCUACCCGCUGAGUUUAAGCAUAUCAAUAAGCGGAGGA
rnacentral:misc_RNA from 1 species